UUGGAUCGUCCGCCGCAGCCGGUUGAGGGUGCUCGUAGCAGUCCAAGUCGCGGUGUGAGAGACGGACAGUUCAGUGCCUUCCAGCUGGUGUGCCGUUACUCUGCAGCCUGCGCUCCCUUCGCCCAGCUGAGGGUGGAGCGCUCCGCGAGCACCAACUGUGCCCACCUCCAACAUCGGCCGCGCCGUCGCUUAGCACACACCUCGCACCAGUCACAAACGACUCAAGGACGGUGCCCGCACCUGAGGAUCUUUGCAAGUCGUCUGUUUUGGGAACGAAUUGCAGCUUGGGAUCUGCGCAUCUUUCGGCCAGCAACUGUGAGGUAUACUUCAACUGUCGCACUGCAGGCUUCUUCUGGGACUGAGAUGGAGUUAUGAGACUACCUUCGUCGCUGUAUGAGCAUUUCUGAAGUGUGGGCGUGGCGAUGGCGGCGCUGUGGUGACAUGUGGGAGGCGGCGGCGGUGC